rnacentral:tRNA from 1 species
UAGGAGGUAGUAUAAUUGGUAGUACAUGAGAGUUUGAGUCUUGUGGUGCGGGUUCGUGUCCCGGCCUCUUAU